UCUGAUCUUAGGGAGAAAGCUAUCAGAUUUCAACACUGAGUAUGAUGUUCACUGUGGAAUUUUCAUUAUGUCGAGUGUCUUUACUUGGUUACAGGGUAAUGCUGACUUCAAAGAAUGAAUUGGGAAGCUUUCCUUCAUCUUCUAUUUUUUGGAAUAGUUGGAAAAGGAUAGAGAGAAAUCACAAGUAG